AUUCAAAAAGUAGAUCUGAAAGUUAUUUAGAUGUGGAGAAAUUACUAGCCUAGGCAGCUGAAAAAGCAGAUCAUGGUUCAUGAAGGAAUGGAAAUUAGUCUUGACGGAUCAGUUAUGUAUAACUGUUAGAUAAUUCAAAUAAACUGGAAGCUUUUUACAGUAAAUCUGGCCUUGUAUUUAGAGGCAUGCCUUCACUUUCUUACUGAGUUGGAUUGUGGUUUGGCGGUGAUGCACACAUCUGUGUGAUGCUAUCUGUGUCCCUUCUGAAACUGUAGAGUUUAGAUAGUUUAGACAGGGUGGGGUCAGAUGAAGCCAGAAAGUUUUGAUAAGGAGAUCUAUAACAAGUGUCGUGGAAAUUAGACAACACUCGCAGACGCGUCCUCUGAGGUGGAAAAAAGGUUUAUUACAGAAAGAUGGUUAGUACAGGAUAGAAGAACACAGGAUAGAAUAAUGAGAGCGCUCUGAGGCACUUGUGCUGAACAAUUACUAUAUAUAUGAAAUGCAGAGCAUGAUAUACUUCUGUGUGCCGAUGAGAAGCGGUUUGAGGCAGUUCAAACAGGCUUUAUUUCAGGGUCUUAUAAGAUAUGCAGAUGAACCUUGAAGAGAAGAACAUGUUUGUGUCUCUGCAUGCAGAUAAACAUUCUGUACUGGUCUAAGUGACAUGACAUGACCUUCUUAGGCGUUAGCCUCAGAUCAACAUUUUAUUUUGGUAGUGGUGGUGAUAGGGGUUCCCAUUACUAUAUAAGCGCCAUCACUUCACUCAUGUUUUAUAUCAAGCAAAAAGAGUCUCCUGAUUAGAGUGCAUGAAAAACUAGAGUUAUGGCUCGUCAGACUGAAGUGGUUUUGCUUCUUAUUCUCGCCAUUGCAGCAGCAGCUUCUGCUGAUGUGGAGAAACCUCUUUCAGAGGGUUAUUUUGAUCAGCUUGUACAAGAAGCCAUGAAGCAAACUGAAGUGGGGACAUGCCUGGGAUGCUGUCCAUUCGGCUGGGUGAAAUAUAAUGGAUAUUGCUACAGUUAUCACAGCUCAAAGAUAGACUGGGCUUCUGCUGAGAAACACUGUCUGAAAUUAAGCGCAAACUUGAUGUCAGUGCACAGUCAGAAGGACUAUCUGAUGGCCAAGGCCCUUAUCCGUGCAUUUGACCCCGUGGAGCCCCCAACUUGGCUUGGCCUGUCUGACUGUCAGAAGAAGAAUGAGUGGUUUUGGUCUGAUGGCACCAAAGUGACGUUCACCAAGUGGAAUCCAACUGAGCCAAAUUUUCUGAAUGGAGAGUGCUGUGUGCAUAUGAACUGGGGCAGUAAGUGGGUCUAGAAACCUCAUGUAGCUGUGUUGUUUGUUUGUUUGUUUUGUUUUUUGUUUUUUGUUGUUGUUUUUUUUAAUGUACCUUCAAUGAACUUCAGUGAUUGGUGUUUCAAAUGAAUUUUUUCACAACAUUAUUUAAUUAUUUUAAUAUUCAUUUCUGUCUGCAGCGCAGCGGGACUGAAAUGACAUUCCAUGUUAUCAGAGCUUUCCUUUUCUGUGUGCCAAGAAAUUAAACUGAAACUCUGACCUCAUCUGUAAUGUGAUGUAAAAAAUACAUUUCCUUGUCCUAAGAUGGCACAAAUACAUUUGUGAAAACACACUGUAAAAUCUUAAGAAAAUUUGAGCAAUAUGAAUAAUAAAAAAUAAAUAAUAAAUAAAAUAAGAUCUUAAAUGUCUUUAUGAAAUUAUUUCAUAUACAGUACAGUUAUCAUCUCUGGUAUUAGCAUUUCAGAUACAAUAAUGCUAACAUGGUAUUAUGGUAGGAGUAUUCUAUAAUGUCACCAUAAUAGAAUGUUACAUCACUGAGUUGGAGGAUUUAUUCGUAGCUAGUAUAUUCUAGUGCAAUGUCUAAAAUUGGCAAUAUUUUAUUAAAAUUGUUACAUACGUGAUAAUUCCUAUAAAGGAAUACACAAUGAAAACAAGUAUCGAAUGGCCAAGGCCCUUAUCCGUACUCAUGACUCCGCGGAGAAUCCAACAUGGAUCGGCCUUUCUAGCUGUCAGGAGAAAUAUAAGUGGUUUUGGUCCGAUGGCACCAAAUUGAUUUACACCAAGUGGAACCCAAGAGAACCAAAUCAUCUCCUUGGAGAGUGUUGUGUGCAUAUGAACUACGGCA